UGGAAGCCGUAAUAUUCUCGCGCCCAAAAACUCAUCAUCAACGUUCCCAGCCGCCAACAAUCACCCAAACUCUUCCCACGCCGUCAGCCUCCAACCACACCCAAACCCUUCCGCUCGCAACCAUGCUUUUCUCGGAGGGAGGGGAACAAAUGGACCAAAUGAUUUGGUCUCUCCGCUUCGAAGAAGCCGUCCCCGUCCUCGAACGCGCCAUCCUAGUCCCCGACGUCUCUCGCGGUGCAGAUCACGCCCUCGCCGCCUUCUCCGGCUUCAUGCAACUCGGCGACACCAUCUCCAUGCUCGGCCACGUCGACAGAUCCAUCUCUUCCUAGUAGGUCAGUUAGGAAGGUAUCAUAUGUUGAAAGUGAAGAAAGUGAAGAAGCUGAUGAAGGGAAAAAGAAAAAUUCCCAAAAGAUUGGUAUUCUUAAAAAAGAGCUAGAAUCUGUUAGGAAACACAGAAAGCAGUAUCGUAAUAGGCGCUUCUCAGUACCUGUGUCGGUGGUAUCCUUGGUUAGUUUUUUACAAUUCUAUUGUGGCCAUUUAAUGUUUGGUGACCUUUGCAGCUUAUACAUCAUUGUAAUGUAUGCCAUAUAAAUGACAAUUUGAUAAUUCUUUUGACAACAUUGCAAGUUGGUUACACAAAUACUGGUAAGAGUACACUUUUGAAUCAACUAAUUGGAGUAGAUGUUCUUGCUGGGGAUAAAUUAUUUGCAACUUUAAAUCCAACUACGAGAAGGGUACAGAUGAAGAAUGGAAAGGAGUUCCUCCUAACUGACACUGUUGGUUUUAUUCAGAAGUUACCUACUACACUAGUUGCUGCCUUCAGAGCUACAUUGGAGGAGAUAGGAGAGUCAUCACUCUUGGUGCAUGUGGUUGACAUUAGGUUAUAUACAUACAAGUGAAACUGCUUCACCCCCUGGCUGAGCAGCAGAUAAAUGUUGUGGACAAAGUCUUGUCAAAA